UUUAGAGUCAUGACUUUCUGGGCCAGUCUG
rnacentral:piRNA from 1 species